CCUGCUGAGCAACUUGUAAUAGGAGGAAUGUAUAUAUUGAAUAUUUCGAGCUCGACAUCGCUUGACCGGAUAUCUAUGCUCUAUGCUCUAUGCUUAACUAUUUUCACUUCAAAUAAUUUUUUAUGUUAAAUUCAUACUACUUAUAAAGAAAAAAGUACUAAUUUUCGUCAAACAAAAGUAUUGGCACACCUAAAUUUUAUUGAACUAUUUCGCUUAAAUUUGAUUGAUCUAGCAACUUUGUUUCAAAAGUCCCCUUAUGUCUACAAUUGCAUUUUUUUUUUUCAAAAAUCAGACUGCAAAAUGCCUUCAAUUAUAGUGGGCAAGUGGAAAAAAAAGUGAAACUAAGAAAUUGGCGAAAUGAUAGACAGAAGCCGGUACACCAUAAGAAGCAUUGUGAAACGAUUUAAGGGGAUCAAUCUUUACAAAACGCAAUAUGUACAGGCAGGCCUAAGGCUUUAAAUGACCGCAAACGCUGCCAAAUAGUAAGAAGGGAAGAGAGAAACCCAAGACUAUCUCACAAAUCGCAGCGGAAGUUAAGGGAGAGUUGCGUAAAGAUAUUCAUCCGAUCAUGGUCCGGUCUCGUGCAGCUAGACGCAAACCCCUAAUGUCAAAAGUGCGCCAAACAAGCGUUUAGCUUGUGCUAAGGAGUACCUAAGCAAACCAAUUGAUAUUUGGGACAAUGUACUCUUUGCGGAUGAAAGUAAACUUAAUAUUUUUCAGUCUGAUUUCCGUCAAACUAUGUGGAGAAAACUUAACACUGAACUUCAAAAAGAGAACCUUUAUGCGACUGUAAAACAUGGUGGUGGAAGAGUCAUUGCAUGGCCGCUGUAGGUGUGGGCGAGCUGGAAUUAAUUGACGGCAUUAUAGACAUAAAAUACUAUAUACAAAUUCUUAAGAGAAGUGUCAAAAAAAGUGAAGAAAAACUCAAAUAGCCAGAGUAAUUUACAUUUCAGGCCGACAUUGAUCCGAAGCAUACCGCUCAUGAUGUGCGUUUGU